AGGGAAAAACAACAAAAAAGAAAAAACAACAGAGGCAUAAGUCCCUAAUUUCUACACAAGUUGCUUUGAGACAACUGCUGCAUUUGGGAGCACAGUGGACAUGACUGUUGUCUCAGAUUUAUUAAAAUGGGGUAGUUAUCUUUAAAUUGUUCCAUCCACCAUAUAUUUGCUUUUUAGAAAGGCUUCAGCUUUGUUCUGGACAGUUUGUUGAAUCCUAAUGGGACACCGUGAACUUCACAAAGUCUUCAGACUUCUGAUGUGGAACUGUUUGAAGAGCAAGGCCUUUACCAUUAAACACUUAGUACACUGUGGCAAUUUAGUCAUUAUGUACAUCAUACACUAUUUUGGUAUCUUGGCAGUUAUUCACAGUGAUGAAAUUCCAAACAACAGGAAAUAACUUCAGCUGAGCUCAGGAUAUUUUGUGAUUGAACAGUAAUAUUGGCAAUAAAACAUCAUGAAAACUCAAAAUAUAGAUUAUUGUGUAAUCUUUAUUGUUUAAUUAAGCAAUAUCUUAAC